GUAUUUUGAAUUAUUUAUUCAUAAUAUUUUUCAGACAAAGAGUUAAAAAAAUAGGUUGAUGUUUGGUCGAUCUCCAUAAAGAAGAUCAACUGACAUUGCACACAAGGUGGAUAUGGAUUUUUAAAGAGUGCCAUAAAACACUCGUUUGUGAAUGAUCCUUCCGCAGGUUCACCUACGGAAA
rnacentral:misc_RNA from 1 species